CGAGGGCACGCCUGCCUGGGCGUCACAC
rnacentral:rRNA from 4 species